CCAGAAUGGUCACUCUUUGGACACUCGUAAACAGGUGGUGCAUGGUUGUCGUCAGCUCGUGUCGUGAGAUGUUGGGUUAAGUCCCGCAACGAGCGCAACCCUUAUCAUUAGUUGCUACGCAAGGGCACUCUAAUGAGACUGCCGGUGACAAACCGGAGGAAGGUGGGGAUGACGUCAGGUCAUCAUGGCCCUUAUGGGUAGGGCUACACACGUCAUACAAUGGCCGGUACAGAGGGCUGCCAACCCGCGAGGGGGAGCUAAUCUCAGAAAACCGGUCGUAGUCCGGAUCGCAGUCUGCAACUCGACUGCGUGAAGUCGGAAUCGCUAGUAAUCGCGGAUCAGCUUGCCGCGGUGAAUACGUUCUCGGGCCUUGUACACACCGCCCGUCACACCACGGAAGCCGGUAACACCCGAAGUCGGUGUCCUAACCCGCAAGGGAGGGAGCCGCCGAAGGUGGGAUUGGUGACUGGGGUGAAGUCGUAACAAGGUAG
rnacentral:rRNA from 1 species